rnacentral:ncRNA from 5 species
UACAGAGGGUGCGAGCGUUAAUCGGAUUUACUGGGCGUAAAGCGUGCGUAGGCGGCUUUUUAAGUCGGAUGUGAAAUCCCCGAGCUUAACUUGGGAAUUGCAUUCGAUACUGGGAAGCUAGAGUAUGGGAGAGGAUGGUAGAAUUCCAGGUGUAGCGGUGAAAUGCGUAGAGAUCUGGAGGAAUACCGAUGGCGAAGGCAGCCAUCUGGCCUAAUACUGACGCUGAGGUACGAAAGCAUGGGGAGCAAACAGG